UCAGUCACACUGGACUGAGACCCGUCCAGACUCUACGGAGCAGCAGUGGGAUUGACAUGCGACCUGAUCAGCAUGCGCGUGUGAGAGCUUUGAUGUAAAGCACUUUAGUAGGAGGAAGGCUGUAGAUAUACUUAGAUCUUGACGUACCUAGCAGAAUAAGCACGCUAACUCUGUGCAGCAGCGCGGUUAUACAGGGGGGUCAAGCUUAUUCGAAUUACUGGCCGUAAAGGCGGCGUAGGGGCCUAUUAGUUCGAAGUUGAAUUCCCCGAGUUCACCUGGGGACUGCAAUCCGAUCCUGGUUGCCUGGAGUUUAGGGGAGGAAGUGGGAUUUCCUGUGGUACCGUGGAAUGCCGAGAAAAUCGGAGGAACUCCCGUUGCCGAAGCCACCACUCUGGCCUAUACCGACCGCUAGGUUCGGAAGGCAUGGGAAGCAACCAGGAUUGAUUACCCUGGUAUUCCAUCCGGUAAACGAUGUAUAUUACCCGUUGAAGCCUUUAACACUUUAUUGGGGCAGUUAAGCCGUUAGGUAGACGGCUGGGGAAGUACGGUGGCAAGAUUAAAAUUCAAAUAAAUUGAGGGGGGCCGGCCCAACCGGUGGACCAUGUGGUUAAAUUGGAGGCAACGGGAAGACCUUUACAGGCCCUUACCUUCAUAGAAACUUUCCAGAGAUGGAUGGGGCCUUUGGGGACUUUAGAACCAGGUGUGCCAUGGCGUUGUUCAGUUGGGUUCGUGAGAUGUUGGGUUAAUUCCCGCAAGGAGGGCACCCCUUUCCUUUAUUACCCACCACUUCGGGUGGGCACUUUAAGGAUACUGCCAGUGACAAACCGGAGGAAGGCGGGGAUGACGUCAAGUCAUCAUGGCCCUUACGGCCAGGGCUACACACGUGCUACAAUGGUCGGUACAGAGGGUUGCCACGCAGCGAUAGGGAGCUAAUCCCAAAAAACCGAUCGUAGUCCGGAUUGGAGUCUGCAACUCGACUCCAUGAAGUCGGAAUCGCUAGUAAUCGCGGAUCAGAAUGUCGCGGUGAAUACGUUCCCGGGCCUUGUACACACCGCCCGUCACACCAUGGGAGUUUGUUGCACCAGAAGUAGGUAGGAUAACCGUAAGGAUCCGCGCACCACGUUGCUCAAAUCUUC
rnacentral:rRNA from 1 species